UAAGAAUGUUGUUCCCAUCCUUCAAACAUGCAUCGACGUCUACAAUAACAUUCUUAACAGUGAUCAGAAAUCCUUUGAAGCUAUCUCCAAUCAUAACCUUGUCCAAUUGAGCACAGAGCUAGGCACUAAUGUGGAAAACAUACUAGGCUGUGACAAUGCAUUCAAACAGGCUAAGCUCGAAUCGCCGAUGAAAGAGAUGGAUGCAAUGCUUGGAAAGAUCAUUAGCAACACCUUGACCAUUGGUCUCGACAUGGUCCACUUUUAAAGGAACAACUUAUUAAAUGUUUGUGAUUAGGCCAAUAAAAUAGGCCAUGUCAGCGUUCUUUAAUUAUUUAAUGGAAAAGCGAUUAAAAAAAUCAAUUGUUGAAAAUAUUAAUGAUGAAAUUGAAAUUUGUUUUUGUUUAGAGACUAAAAUAGAAUCACUCUAAUAUAUUAUGCUAUUUUUUUAGUAGAAAUUUUAAAAGAUAUGGCCAUAUUAAUUAAUUUCACAUUGACAUAUUAUCAUAUUAAUUAAUAUUACUUUUAUUAUUAUCAUAUAAUAAAUGAUAUUUUCGUAAAUCCAAAUUUUUUUCAAAACACGUGCUUUUAUAUAUAUCAUAGAUGUAAUUGUUACUUUAGAAAUGCAAAAAAGGUACAUGUAUUUAAAAACAGUAAAUAAAUUAUGUAAUAUAUAUUUAUUAUUGAAAACAUUUAAUUAUGUACUUAAGAUAUUUGAAAAUUAAAUAUAUAUAUAUGAUAUAUGUUAUAUACAUUAGAUAAUAAAAAUAUUAAUAGAAAUAAGAUAAAUAUAUACUUCAUUUUACUUAAAUUAUAUUCAACUCAUCCCUUCCUAAUAUAUUUAGAUUAAUUUGCAACGUAUUUAUUAAAUUCUUUUGGAAUUUAAAUUAUUUAAAUAAUUUAAAAAUUAUCAUAAUAGAUAAUAAGAACUUAAUAUGGUAAAGUGAAGUUCUUUUUUCAAUAAAACUAUAAUUAUAACAAUAAUUAAAAAAUAUCAUAAAACAAAGAUUAUAAGAACAUACCAAUAACUCAUGUUAUUUAUCUUUUAUUUACUAGAUUUUAAAAUUUUAGUCUAGAAACAUUUUUAUUAGAUAUUAUAAGGGGUAAAAUGGUAAUUUAAAGAGUCAAGGAUGGAUAGAGCGGAGCAAAUAUUUACCACAACUUCCUCAUUCAAUUUUGCUGACCUACCAUUUAAAAGAAAACCCUCUUAUUUAGAGUAGAGUAUUACAAAAGUUAUAGAGCAAUUUAGAUUUUGUCAUCCUAACAAGAACUCUGAAUAUAGUUAAAGCCUAGUAUUGCCCGACCAGUAAUGAAUACAAUUCUAUUUGAGAUUAAUCCCUCCUUAUUGACAUGGUUAAGAACUAAUAAGCAGUUUAAUGACGACUCAACCAUGGACUAUGUAGCUUUUCCGAGACAGUUUGAACAAAUAUGUAUCAUGGUAGGCUAUGUUGGAGUUUCAGAAGAAGCAAUCAAGUUACUGCUGAUCCCUUUUGCCCUUAGAGGCUAGAUUCAAGAAUGGUUAGAAGCGUUGCCUCCGGGAACUAUUACAAUAUGGGAAGUUUUUUUGCAAUGAUUCUUACUAAGGAUUAUAUCCAUGCUUGUGAUGUUAAAGACAAAUGAUGAGCUAUUGCAAUUUAAACAAAGUCCCAUCGAAAUGCUUGGUCAAACAUGAGAUAGAUUCAAAAUAAUUGUGCAAAAUGCUCUGGAGGAUGGAAUUAAUACAAUCAUUCAAUUACAACACUUUUCUGUAGGUUUAGAUUAGAAGAGCAAAGAAUAAUUUGAUGUAAUGGUUAGAGGAAGCGUUUGGUCAAAAACUGCUCAGGAAAUUGUUAUGCACCUUGAAAUAGUGAGCAGUAAUGAUUAUACUUGGAGAAAAAUCAGAGAAAUAGAAUUGAUAGAAGAAGUAAUGAGAACUGAUGAGACGAAAAAAGCAACGAGGAAGACAUGCAAGAACAAUUGAGCGAAGAUGAAGAUUGCACUUCAGAUUUUGAAGAAACCCUAGAAGACGAAUUUUUUGAGAAACUGCUCGAAAAGCAGUUAAAACACAUCUAUCAACUGGACUGGAAAAGACAAUAUAAAAAACCUCUACACCAAUCAGAUAAUCUUUCAGCCAAGAUGACUCUGUCAAUUAUCAAAGCACCCGUGUUGGGAUUAAACCCCUUUCUCGCACACUUAAAAUGCGAGUAUUUGGGUGAUAAUAACACUUUACUAGUAGUCAUUGCACAAGGCUUAUCGGUGGAAUAGUAGAAAACACUCUUGGAUUUACUCAAUGCUCAUAAAAAUCUAUUGGGUGGAAAAUUGCAAACAUUAAAGGAAUCAAUCCAAUUUUAUAUCAGCAUAAAAUAAGAUUGGAUGAAGGAAAAAAUCCAGUGGUCAACAUUCAGUGAUGUCUUAAUCCAACAAUGAAGAAGGUGGUCAAGAAGAAACUGAUAAAGUGUUGGGAUGCAGGAAUUGUCUACCUCAUCUAUGAUAGCAAAUGGGUGAGGCCAACACAAUAUGUUCCAAAAAAAAGGAGGAAUGACAAUGGUGACAAACGAGAAGAAUGAAUUGAUUCCUACUUGGACAGUUACAAGAUGGAGGGUAUGUUUUGACUACAAGAAACAUAAUAACACAACUAAAAAGCAUCACUUUCCACUGCCAUUUAUAGACCAAAUGCUUGACCAGAUGGUAGGUAAGGAAUUCCUAUGGAUAUCAUCAAAUCCCUAUCCAUCCGGGUAAUCAGGAAAAGAAUACGUUUACAUGUCCUUUUGGAAUGUAUGUUUUUCGAAGGAUGUCGUUUGGACUAUGCAACACUCCAGCUACAUUCAUGUGUUGUAUGACUGCAAUUUUUGCGGACAUGUUAGAAGAAGGAUUAGACAUAUUCAUGGAUGAUUUUUUUUGUUUAUAGAGAUUCAUUCAUAGAAUGUCUACACAAUCUUGAACGAGUUCUAAAAAGAUGUGAAGAAACUAAUUUGGUGCUCAAUUAGGAAAAUAAAGUUUUAUUGUAAAAUAAGGAAUUGUUCUCGGACAUCAUAUUUCCAAAAAAGGUUUGAAGGUUGAUAAAGCCAAGAUUGAAGUGAUGGAGAAGCUAACAUACCCAACAAAUGUUCGAAGAGUGAAAAUUUCUUAAGACACGCUGACUUUUAUAGACGAUUCAUAAAAGACUUUGCACAAGUCUUAAAAUCGUUGAGCCAACUAUUGUAGAAAGAUGUCCCUUUCGAUUUCAACGAAAAAUGCAUCGAGGCUUUCGACAUUCUAAACUAGAAAUUAGUCUCCGCACCCUGAUAAGUGCUAAAAGUAACAUAUUUUAACCUUGUUUUUAAGGCUUUUUUGGGUGAUUAUUCAAUGUUAAUUGUGAAUUUUAUGCCUCUAAUCUUUCAAAGUCAUGUUUUUAUGCCUAGUAGAGAAUUUGGGAGCAAAAAGAGCAAAAAAAGUGUAAAAAUCAAAAAAUCAGAGCAAGCUACAAGAGUCACAUGGGCUGACCCAUUCCACACAACCAUUUGACCCACUCGGGCUACCAGACGGCCAUGUGUUAGGCUAUGUCGAUUGCGCGAAUUUGUACACUGAACAGAGAAAAAACGUAAUUUUUAGGUUUUUCGAGCAUUCUAAGACGUAUAUAUAUGACAAAAAGAAGAAAAUAGAAGGGAGUCGUCAUAGAAUAUUCAAGAAAACAACUCGAAAAACACCAUUGAAGCUGAUCAUGAAGCAAAUUUUUGUCAAGAUUGAAGAUUCCCAGUUGAUUUCUUAGGAGAUUAUCAUGAGUUCUUUAUUUCUUUCGGUUAUACUGUGUCUUGGAUGUUUCUAUUUUCAAGCAGGAACUAAUUUUCUAAAUAUUUAGGGGAGAUGAACCCUAUGAUGAAUUUUGUCUUUUGAUUUUUAUUUUACGCAAUAAAUACUUAAAUAUUAUUCUCAAUUAUGUGUACUUAAUUCUUUGUUUGAUAUUUCUAAAUUAUUGAUCCAUGUUUGAUGUUCUUCAAUCAGUGGUUGAAUAGAACCUGUUUAAGAUUAGAUUUUGAGCAAUUGACUGAAGUUGCAUGGAAUCCUAGAAAUAGGAUGACAUAAAUCUACUAGAUUAGAGUCAAAUCUAAUAGAGGAAUCUAUAAUUUAAGGAUUUCUACGGAUCAAGAUACUAAGUAAAGGAAUUGCGUAAUUUAGAUUGGUAGUGACAGAUGAAAUCUAGGCGGAUUCUUUCAUGGGUAUUAUUUUUAAUUGAUCACUCGAAUUAUUUAGUUAAAUAAUAGAAAUACGGUAAUUACUAGUACUUAUAGUCCUCGUGGGAAUUGCUCAUCGUAGCUAUACUAUUAAUUGAUAGGUGCACUUGCCUUAGUCAAACUUUUAGUUAGUUUCGUGGACAUCACAACCAUCAUAGCCAGCCCUAAUUGGACAAAGCCUUUUGUUAUUAUGUUCAAUGCAAGUGAUCAUGCAUUUGGAGUAGUAUUGGGACAAGACAAAAACAAGGUAUUUCACGUUAUUCAUUACGCAAGUAAGACACUUAAUCCAACUCAAUGCAAUUACACUACCAAGGAGAAAGAAAUGUUAGCAAUUGUAUUUUCAUGUGAGAAAUUCAUAUUGUAUCUGAUGUCAAACUGAGUUUAUGUCUAUAUGGACCACUAAACAUUGAAGUACAUGAUGAAGAAAAAAGAAACAAAAGUGAGACUAAUGAGAUGAGUGUUGCUUCUCCAAGAAUUUGAUUUAUGGAUCCUUGAUAGAAAAGGGACAAAAAAUCAAGUUACUGAUCAUUUGUCAUGAUUGGAAUUAGAAGCUGAAGGAAAAAGGGAAAUGGAAAUAAACAAAAACUUUUUUGAGGAGCAGUUAUUUCAACUUAAGACGAUUUCUAAAACACGUUGGUAUGCAGACAUUGUCAAUUAUUUAGCCCAAGUCAUUUUCCCAGUUGAUGCAACAUGGGCGCAAAAAAAGAAGAUUAAGUACGAUGCCAGAAAAUAUACAUGACAGGAACCAUAUGCUUUCAAGCCAGAUCAAAUGAGAUUCAGGUCACACAACUCUAACAUUUAAUAUAUUGGUAAUUUAUUGAAUUGUUUAUUUGGGCUAUGUUGAUUAUACGAUUAAUUUCUAGCCCAUGGAUUUAAAUGUUUGAUUGGAUCGUGAUUCUGUUGGAUAUGCUGCCAAGAGUCCUUAUUUAAAUUAUGCUUUAUUAUAAUGUAUUAUGUUAUUGUUGAUUUAGUGGGAUUGAAUUGGAUCUUUAUGUGUAAGCAAGUCUCAAUAUUAAUUUCAUACAUUUAAGAGACUUGCAUAGGCAAAUGUAUUGAGAGUUUUAGGCACUUAAUUUGUUCUUGUGAUAAUAUUAGUGUGCGCGUGCUAUUUUGUUAGUAAAACCUUGUCUCGUAGUUUUACUUGCUAAAUUCAUUAUGAAUUUAGUGGUAAGAAUAUUGAUGUAACAUCCCGAUUUUUAGAGAUGUCGAAAAUAAUGGUUCGAGGCCACCAAAUCUGGCGAUUAAGCUCGUACAUUUUAUUAUUUAAUAUUUACGAGUCAAAUAUGAUUUUAGAAAGGUUUUUGAAUUAGUAAUUUGUGCUUUAUAAUGAUUUAUUCGAUUAAGUGGUUUUAGAAAAUAAGGUAUCGGGACCUUGUUUCUAUAAACCGAGCCGUAAAUAUUUUUAUAAAUAUUUACGGAGUGUCAAUAAGGUAGUAUUAAAGUUUCGUUGAAAAAUUUUAUUGUUUUGGUAGUCAAUUAAUUAAAAAGGACUAAAUUGAAAAAUGUGCAAAAUUUGCUAAUUAUAAUAACUAAAUGAUUAAAUGGAAUGAUUAAUAAAUAAAGAAUGAUCUAAAUAGCAAUUUUUCCUAAAGGAAAAGGAUGAGGCAGCAUAAGAGAAGAAAAUAAUAAAAUAAAGCCAUUUAAUGGCAAAAUGGUAAAUAAUUUGAAAUUAAAUAAGACAAAUUGAAUUUAAAAGAAUUUCUAGACAUUUCUUCUUCAUAUUUUCGGUUCAAAUAGAGAAGGAGGAGUGGUCAAGCUGGUUUUCAUAUUUUUGCUACAGAUUAAGAUUGAGAGGAAAAUCGAGAAAAAUAUAAAAUUAUCAAAAUGCCCCUGAAUCUUGGUAUUUCUACAGUUUAGCCUGGUAAGUUCAUAUGGCUAAAUUCAAUAUUUUGUUAUGAAAAUUUCAUGAAUAUUAUGGUAUAUUAUUGUAUAUAAAUGUUAUAAAAUUUUGAUUAUUGUAAAAUAAUGCUUAAGUAAAAGUACAAAUUAGUUGGAACGAUGGAUUUGAGUACUUUCGUUCAAAGGCCAAGAUGAAUUGAUGGAAAAGACCAUGGUUGGACCAUGGAAACAUGUGAUAUGUGAUUUCCGUAUAAGACCAUAGCUGGGAUAUGGCAUCGGUGUGAUGUGAUUAUGAGUUUCUGCAUAAGACCAUAUUUGGGAUAUGGCAUUAGUGUGAUAUGUGCUACUGUGUAAGACCAUAUCCCAUAGCUGGACUAUGGCAUUCUGAUGAUAAGACCAUAACUAGGUUAUGGCACUAUGAACGUAAGAUCAUGGUUGGAUUAUGACAGUGUUUAUAUGUAAGACCAUAGCUGGCUUAUGGCAUUCUGAUGAUAAGACCAUAACACAGUUAUGGCACUACGAAUGUAAAGAAUGAAUUGACGAAAAAUGUAAAAGAUGAAUUGACGACAAAUUACCCAAGUAAACCGAGGUUCAACAUUUGUUGUGAACUUUUGUGUUUACUAUCUGUUUAGCUCUCAUGAGCUUCUAUUCAGCCUUCGGGCUUCUAAAAACGAGGUACUCAUAUCCGUAAGUCGUUCUUCGAAAGGUAAAAUAUCGGGAGUUGUCUUGAAUAUUAUAUAUAUGUAUAUGAAGAAAUGGUAAGAGAAUGAUAUGUAUUAUGAUAUGUAUUUAUAUCAAUAUCUUGAUAUGUUGAUAUAUGGAAAUUAUGUAAGUGGAGACAAGUAAUGAACUCAAGUGUAACAUGUUGAGAUAGUAAGGUUAUCGAUGUUGAAAUUAUAUGAAAUAUGUUCAAGUACGCUAACAAAUGUUGUUGUUUGAUGCUUACGCAAAUGCCAAGCUAUUGAUUGAAUGGUGAUAUGUUUAAUUAUAAGAUGCAUUGAAAUGGUAAGUGCUCAAAUGAAAAUAUGCUUGUGUUCAUGAAAGAGUGGUAAGUUUAAAGUUAUGUAAUUUCUUAAGAAAAGACUUAUUAUACGAUUAAUUCGAAAAAGGCUAUGUUUAAAUGCAUUAGCUUGUGGCUAUGGUUGAAUGAUAUGGUCAUGACUGGUGUGUUAUGCAUAUGGAAUAAGUGUAGAAAGUAAAGAAAUGUAAAUGAAAAUAAAGAAAUUCGAAAGAGUAUAAAGUUGUUUAAAAUCCUAUAUUACUAGGGAUAAUAUGUACAAGCGAUGAUGUGGAUUUAUUUACCUUGUGAGUUUAUGAAUAUAGCCACAUGAGCAUUGUGGUAUCAAUAUUAAAUUAUUCUUGAUAUUUAUAAAUUUCAUAUUUGAAAUGAAUGGUCAUGAUUAAAGUUUAUACGAGCUUACUAAGCAUUUAUUGCUUACGUACUUGUUUUUCUUUACUUUUCAGAUUAUCAGAAGCUCGAUUGGGUUGGAAGCUUGUCGGAGUUUUAUCACACUAUCCAUUGGUUCUAUCGGUAAUUUUGGAUGAUUUGAUUUUGGUUAUAAUGGCAUGUAUAAGUUAAUUUGGCCAACGUUGGCUCAUUAAUAUUUUUUUUAUUUUGAUUGGUUUCAAAUAUGAAUGCUAGAUGAAAUGAAAUGUCUGAUAAUUAAUUUGUAAAUUUUGGUAAUGCUCCGUAACCCUGUUCUGGCAAUGGAUUCGGGUUAAGGGUGUUACAUUUAUUGGUAUCAAAGCUAUGAUUUAGUCGGGUCUCAACUAAACGUAGCAUAUGAGAAGUUUAGAAAUACAUGCCAUUAUAUAACCAAUGAUAGUGUGAUAUCUCCCGACUAUAAUGAGAUUUGUUUUAUUUUUAGACAGAGAUACUUUCCAAUCGAGCUAAUUUCGAUAAUGCUGAAAGUGAUACUCAAGUAUUUGAUUAAAAAGUUGUUUAUGAUGGGUAGAGACGGAACUUAUAAAGGUAUGAAAUAAAUGUUUUAUAAUACAUGUCAAUGAUGAAUGUUAUGUUAUAUGUUUGUGUAUAUGAGAGUCAAAUUUAAGGCUUUACGACCUUCACCCCCUUACUUGUGCGUCUUAUACAGUGGAAAUUCACAAGAUUUAUAGUGAUUAAGUUUACAAGUGUGAAAUCAAAGAGUUAAGUGGCUGAAUGAUUAAUAAUGCGGUCAGAACUGAGAAUGGGUUAACAAGUAAAGACGGUUUUAAAAGAGAUAUCAGAUUUUUCUGAAGAUUAUUCGAGAUACAUAAUGUUGUUAUUAAGGAAGAAGUUAUUCACGAGUAAUCAACUUAUUAAGGUAUGGUAUCUAAAGAAUGGGUUAACUGGAAAAUUCUUUUCAAUUGAUUUCUUUAGUGAUUGGGAUAAUGUAAGAAUAUUGAUGACUUUAGUAGUCAGAGGAAUAGUGUUAAAAUUUCAAAAAUAUCUCAAUGCAGCUGUUAUAUUCGAGUAUCUUAGAGUGAUCUCUUAUGGGUAUUCUAUAUUCUUUUAUCUUCAGAGGUAUAUGAAAUUGUUCAUUUUCAGAUGUGAUUCUUAUCAUAUGGAAAGGCUAGCUAAUCAUAACGUUGGACGAAAGUAUUGUUGGUCUGGUUGAUUUAUGAUUGGCAUUGCUCUAUCUUUCUUUGGCAUUCUAUUAUAUUAUGUUUGGUAGAAGAUUUAAUGAUAAAACACAUAUAAUGUUAUUUUAUUUCUUCUACUGGUUGAAGCUCUGAAAUAUAUAUUUGUAAUUUAUGUUGUCUCUGUCACAACUAAUUUCAGUGCAUAUGAGCGAUAUUCUUCUUCUGGAUUUUCUCUGGGAUAUUAUCGAUCUCUUUAUUAUUCAAUGUGGUUUAUAUUCUCGAAAAUUCAGUAUAGCUUCAUAUUUGGGAUUUUAUUAUCUCAGUUUUUUUAUCAUUCUUAUGGUUUAAUCUUAUCUAUCAAACAUGGUUCGUCUGUAAAAGAUAUUUAUGGGCCAUAGAUAAUUACAUAUAUUACUAUUAUAAAUUCUGGUUUGAACAUGGAAGCAUGGAAAUGUAGAUCUCAGAGUAUAAAGAUCUUAGAGUGCAUUAUUGAUAUUGAGGUAUUAUUCUAUCUAUAUGGUUGAAACGUUGGUCCCAUUAUAGUAUUAUGGUUUGUAAUCUAUCUGAUGGUUGUGGUUUUGGUAUAGCUCAAAGCUUCGAUGUUAAUAAUUGAAAUAGCCCUAUAAUAUAUAAUCCCUCUUUAGUUUUCGAGACAAAGGUUGACAUCGGCAAAAGUGUAGAUGGUGGAAGAUUGAGCUCAAAUUUGUACAUUGGUUUUCAUUCUUUAGGUAAUCUCGAAUUAUGUCAACAAGUAAAUAACGAGAUGUCAUAAUUCGUUUGAGUUAGUGCAGUUUGUGGUAAUUUUCGGUUGGUAUUCCGAGAGAAUUAUAAUAUAUGGUAUAUCUGGAUUGUCUUAACAAUAAGAAGGGAUUAUUCUAAAAAAUUAUUCUUUGAUAGAUAUAAUCGACUCAGUCAUUCUAAUCAGAGUGGGUUAUUCAUUUGAAAGGUUAAUUGAGUUAUACACAUUUGAGUUUAUCUUCAGGUCCGAAAAUAAAUUUUGUGCAUUCACGGGUAAAUUGACGAACCGUCAGAAUAAGCGAUUCAUAUUCUAGUAGACAUGAUACAGAAAUCUAUCUAUUAGAUCAGUUCUAAUCAGGAAAUGGUAUUAUGGACUAAAGUCGUUUCAAUAGUGAAGCUAUUGUGCUUGUGUUAAACAAUAUUGCUUGACACUUUCCAUCUAAGGAGAAAUAAAUAUAAGUUGAGAGUUACAGAUGUAGACAUGCUAGAAGCAUUAGUUUUGAUAAAUAAGGUUUCUUGGUUAUGUUUCGUUAGACGAUUACUAGGAGUUUCUCGAUAAUUGUGUUACUGAUGAUAAAGACAUGACGGGAGAAGAUCAUAGUUGUUCAGUUAAGUUCUGAAAUGAUAUCAAUUUUAAUAUGAAUUCUAAUGUGAUAAAUUUCGAGGACGAAAUUUCCUAAGGGGGAGAGUUAUAAUAAAAUUUACGGGCUUACUCGCUGGAUUUGGUGGCCUCGAACCAUUGUUUCCGACAUCACUGAAAAUCGAGCUGUUACAAUCGAGCCUUCAAAAAUACAAACGUAAGGGAAAUUAUUAUAGGGUGCGACUGAUUAGGUUCACUUUGUAUAAUUGUUAAAGAGAGUGGAUAUUUCUCUCUAAUCUAGGCUCCACAGACAUAGAAAAAUCGAACUGCGUGAACAACUCCAUGUUUUCCCGUGUUUACUAUUUUACAAUUGGUGGUUUAAAGAGUGCCCACCUUCUUAAGCACCACUUCACCUGAGCAAGUACGAUUCUCAACAAUGUCUAAAUUAUUUCAACCUCAUAGGUUUUUAUUUUUAUUUUUAUUUUUAUUUUCAUUUUCUUAACAAUUUUGAAUGAUUUCAAAUUUCAAAUUUACUUUUCUUUUGCUUGUAACAUGGUAAUUUUGUCAUUUUAUUAAUAAAUUAUUUUUUGUUGGAAUUUUUUUUUUAGGAUUUUCUUGUUUCAUAUAUCUGUUUUUUCUCUAACUAAGAAGGGAAAUUAAAUAAAAUAAAAAGUAGUUAAUUAUAUGCUAAAAUUAGAUUGUGUGGACAUAUCUUACGGUGAGACACUAUUUUUAUGAGGGUCGAAAAAAUACUAUAAAAGCUUCACUAGUUCCACUUCCUUAAUUCACCUCUUUCAUUUUAUUUUCCUAUUGUGUUUCAUCCAAAAUAAGAGAAGAGACCAUGGAGGUCAACCAUUUCAUCCUCGCCCUUAUCUCUCUCUCUUGUCUCUUCUCUGUCUCUGCUAAUGCCCCUCCACCCCUUUCCAAUGCUUCUAGCCCUGCUUCUUCAGAACUUUAUGAUAUGAUCGAGGUCAUGUCUGAAUCACCGUCACCAUUUGCAUUUGAUGGUACAACAUUGGAAAGCAUUGAUGAUUUAUUGAGCAUACUACCUGGUGGUGUUGACCCUGCCCUUCAGCAAAUCUGUGGGAACACCGAUCACCCCGUCGAAUGUAUCAUAGCAACUAUGCCAUUCCUAGAUGAGAAUGCUCCUAUUGAGCCUCUUUCUGUCCUUAAAGCUGGGAUUAAAGCAAUGGAUAACCAGACCAAAAAUGCAUUGGCGGAGGUUACAAAGCUUUCAAUGGACCCCACUACCCCUAAAACUAUUGUUCCCAUCCUUCAAACAUGCAUUGAUGUCUACAAUAGCAUUCUUAACAGUGAUCAAAAAUCCCUUGAAGCCAUCUCCAACCAUAACCUUGUUCAGUUGAGCACAGAGCUAGGCACCAAUGUGGAAAAUGUACUCGGUUGUGACAAUGCUUUCAAACAGGCUAAGCUUGAAUCUCCAAUGAAGGACAUGGAUGCAAUGCUUGCAAGUAUCAUUAGCAACACCUUGACCAUUGGUGUCGACAUGGUCCACUUUUAGAGGAACAAACGAUU
rnacentral:lncRNA from 1 species